AUCUGACCCAGAUCAGUCAUAUCAAACUCCUUUUUCAUAGAACAUUUAAAUUCUCCCAACAAUAUUUCAUCAUUGCUAGUAAACAAAAGAUCAUCAACAUAAAUGCUUACAAUAAGAAUGUUACCUUUCUUCCUUUUAACAAAGAGCGUACGCUCACUAGAACUGUUUUCAAAUCCUUCUUUGAUGAAGUAGGAUUCAAUUCGGCUAAACCAGGCUCUAGGUGCUUGUUUUAACCCAUAGAGUGCUUUGUUGAGCUUGUACACCAUUUGUUCACUCCCCUUUUUUUCAUAGCCUUUCGGUUGUUCUACAAAGACAUCUUCUUUCAAUUCUCCAUGUAGAAAAGCUGAGUUUACAUCUAACUGAUAAAGUUUCCAGCCUUUCUGAGCCGCAAAAGCUAUGAUCAUCCUUACAGUAUCCAUUCUGGCCACAGGCGCGAAAACUUCAGUGUAAUCAAUUCCAUGCUCUUGUGUGUAGCCUUUCACCACCAACCUCGCCUUGUAUUUAUCAACCUCUCCAAGCUCAUUUAGCUUAGUUUUAUAAAUCCAUUUUACUCCUAUUUUCUUUGCACCAGCGGGUAGAACUACUAAGUGCCAAGUCUGAUUUUUUUCAAUGGAUUUAAUCUCCUCAUCCA
rnacentral:misc_RNA from 1 species